rnacentral:tRNA from 1 species
UGCCGUGUGUCCGAUUGGUCGAGGGUGCUGUCUUGAAAACAGUCUGGAUGUAAAAGUCUUUGGGGUUCGAAUCCCUAACACGGCGUUA